CCUACGGGGGGCUGCAGUGGGGAAUAUUGGACAAUGGGGGGAACCCUGAUCCAGCCAUGCCGCGUGUGUGAAGAAGGCCCUCGGGUUGUAAAGCACUUUCAGUGAGGAAGAACGCCUGGUGGUUAAUACCCAUCAGGAAAGACAUCACUCACAGAAGAAGCACCGGCUAACUCCGUGCCAGCAGCCGCGGUAAUACGGAGGGUGCGAGCGUUAAUCGGAAUUACUGGGCGUAAAGCGCGCGUAGGUGGCUUGAUAAGCCGGUUGUGAAAGCCCCGGGCUCAACCUGGGAACGGCAUCCGGAACUGUCAAGCUAGAGUGCAGGAGAGGAAGGUAGAAUUCCCGGUGUAGCGGUGAAAUGCGUUGAGAUCGGGAGGAAUACCAGUGGCGAAGGCGGCCUUCUGGACUGACACUGACACUGAGGUGCGAAAGCGUGGGUAGCAAACAGGAUUAGAUACCCCUGUAGUC
rnacentral:rRNA from 1 species